rfam:Hordeum vulgare subsp. vulgare, WGS project CAJW01000000 data, contig: morex_contig_1632598
GAAAUACUCCCUCCAUGCGGAAUGACUUGUCAUAAAAAAGAUAAAAAUGGAUGUAUCUAGAGCUAACAUACGUCUAUAUACAUUCAUUUCCGUGACAAGUAAUUCCGGACAGAGGGAGUAUGCA